AGGAAAUGUCAUCUUUUUUUGUUGUUCCUCAUUCCAGACCAUUACCGAACUCUGACAACAAUAGCUCAGAAAUUGCCUGGACUCUGAAGCAAGCUGAAAUCAGUACACAGAAUAAGAAACACCACUGUACAAACCACGUCCAGAGAAAAGAAGAGCUCCCAGUACAGAGUAUGUGCUAUGAUGGCUUGAACCCAAAACAAGAAAGGCCCAACACCCAUCGUGACCUGACAAUAGCAUCACACACAGAGGAAGAAAAUGAAAGAGGAACUAAAGAGAAGAUACAGAAAUCAGAGAAUUACAGGAAUCAAAACAGAAGAGAUGAGACACAAACUCCAGCCAGAACAAAUGAUUUAUUGCAGUGGGUCUCAGAACAAACCUCAUAAUUUAUCCAGCUGACUAGCACUGUAAUAUGAUUCAUUAACAAUAAAGCA